CGCAAGGUUAAAACUCAAAUGAAUUGACGGGGGCCCGCACAAGCGGUGGAGCAUGUGGUUUAAUUCGAUGCAACGCGAAGAACCUUACCUGGUCUUGACAUCCACGGAAGUUUUCAGAGAUGAGAAUGUGCCUUCGGGAACCGUGAGACAGGUGCUGCAUGGCUGUCGUCAGCUCGUGUUGUGAAAUGUUGGGUUAAGUCCCGCAACGAGCGCAACCCUUAUCCUUUGUUGCCAGCGGUCCGGCCGGGAACUCAAAGGAGACUGCCAGUGAUAAACUGGAGGAAGGUGGGGAUGACGUCAAGUCAUCAUGGCCCUUACGACCAGGGCUACACACGUGCCACAAUGGCGCAUACAAAGAGAAGCGACCUCGCGAGAGCAAGCGGACCUCAUAAAGUGCGUCGUAGUCCGGAUUGGAGUCUGCAACUCGACUCCAUGAAGUCGGAAUCGCUAGUAAUCGUGGAUCAGAAUGCCACGGUGAAUACGUUCCCGGGCCUUGUACACACCGCCCGUCACACCAUGGGAGUGGGUUGCAAAAGAAG
rnacentral:rRNA from 1 species